rnacentral:rRNA from 1 species
GACCAAGAGAAUAAGCGCAAACGGCGGAUGCCUUGGCAGUCAGAGGCGAUGAAAGACGUGAUAGCCUGCGAAAAGCUUCGGGGAGUUGGCAAAUAAACAUUGAUCCGGAGAUGUCUGAAUGGGGAAACCCAGUUAUCUUUGAUAACUAUCUUAACUUAGGUUAAGAGGCGAACGUGGGGAACUGAAACAUCUAAGUACCCACAGGAAAAGAAAUCAACCGAGAUUCCCUCAGUAGCGGCGAGCGAACGGGGAAGAGCCUGGCAUAUUUUAGCACAUAGAUUAGUUGAACAUUCUGGGAAGGAUGGCCAUAGCAGGUGAUAGCCCUGUAGACGAAAAUUUAUGAGUGGAACUAGGUAUGCGAAUAAGUAGGGCGGGACACGUGAAAUCCUGUUUGAAGAUGGGGGGACCAUCCUCCAAGGCUAAAUACUACUGACUGACCGAUAGUGAACCAGUACCGUGAGGGAAAGGCGAAAAGAACCCCGAUAAGGGGAGUGAAAUAGAACCUGAAACCGUUUGCGUACAAGCAGUGGGAGCAUGUAUAGACAUGUGACUGCGUACCUUUUGUAUAAUGGGUCAGCGAGUUACUUUUAGUGGCGAGGAUAACUGAAUAAGGGAUCCGUAGCGAAAGCGAGUUUUAAUAGAGCGAUUAGUCGCUAGGAGUAGACCCGAAACCGACGCGAUCUAUCCAUGACCAGGUUGAAGGUUGGGUAACACCAACUGGAGGACCGAACCCGGUAAUGUUGCAAAAUUAUGGGAUGAGUUGUGGAUCGGAGUGAAAGGCUAAUCAAGCGCGGAGAUAGCUGGUUCUCCCCGAAAACUAUUUAGGUAGUGCCUUGUGAAUAACUCGUUGGGGUAAAGCACUGUUUCGACUAGGGGGGUUUUGCGACCUUACCGACUCGAUGCAAACUUAGAAUACGACGAAGUUUAAUCACAGGAGACACACGGCGGGUGCUAAGGUCCGUCGUGGAGAGGGAAAGAGCCCAGACCGCCAGCUAAGGUCCCCAAGUUAUCGCUAAGUGGUAAACGAUGUGAGAAGGCAUAGACAGCCAGGAGGUUGGCUUAGAAGCAGCCACCCUUUAAAGAAAGCGUAAUAGCUCACUGGUCGAGUCGGCUUGCGCGAAAGAUUUAACGGGGCUAAGCGAUACACCGAAGCUGCGGAUUCAGAGGACAGAAAACAGAAGACAGAGGACAGAAUAAUGAAAUCUAUAGAAAAGUUUGAAGACUUAAUGGUUUUUCAGAAAGCAUAUAAAGUUUCAUUGGAAAUACAUAAGUUAAGCUUGGAGAUGCCGAAAGUUGAGCAAUAUGCUCUGGCGGAUCAAGUAAGGCGAGCGAGCAAGUCAAUUUGCGCAAAUAUUGCGGAAGGAUUUGGUAAGCAAAGUAUAUCCAAGGUUGAUUUUAAACGCUAUUUGGCAAUAGCGAUUGGAUCGGCUGAAGAGAUGCGAGUAUGGAUAAGAUAUUGUUACGAUCUGGAUUAUAUUACUAAGUCUGAUUGGGAAAGAUUUAGCGAUGAGUAUCGAGAUAUAGCAAAGAUGUUAAGUGGUCUUCAUAAGAAGUGGAUGUAGUUUUGAUUUAUCUGUUUUCAGUCAUCUGUCAUCUGUCCUCUGAGUGGUAGGGGAGCGUUCUGUAAGUUGAAGAAGGUGAAUUGAGAAGUUUGCUGGAGAUAUCAGAAGUGCGAAUGCUGACAUGAGUAACGAUAAAUAAGUGAGAUUCUUAUUGGCCGAAAACCCAAGGUUUCCUACGCAAUGUUAAUCAACGUAGGGUAAGUCGGCCCCUAAGGCGAAUCCGAAGGGAGUAGUCGAUGGGAAACAGGUUAAUAUUCCUGUACCGAUUGUAAUUGCGAUGGAGAGACGGAGAAAGCUAGGUCUGCCCGGCGGAUGGUUGUCCGGGUGAAAGCGUGUAGGUAGUAUGUUUAGGUAAAUCCGGACAUAUGUUGAUCUGAGGCGUGAGACGAAGUCGAGCUUGCUUGACGAAGAGAUUGAUGCUCUGCUUCCAGGAAAACCUUCUAAGCAUAGAUUAUGAUUGACCGUACUGUAAACCGACACUGGUGGGUGGGUAGAGAAUACCAAGGCGAUGAGAGAACCCAGGUGAAGGAACUAGGCAAAAUGACACCGUAACUUCGGGAGAAGGUGUGCCCCAUUAGGGUGAAGGACGCACGUCUGGAGCUUGAAGGGGUUGCAGAUACCAGGUGGCUGCGACUGUUUACUAAAAACACAGCACUCUGCGAACUCGAAAGAGGAAGUAUAGGGUGUGACGCCUGCCCGGUGCCGGAAGGUUAAUUGAAGGGGUUAGCGCAAGCGAAGCUCUGGAUCGAAGCCCCGGUAAACGGCGGCCGUAACUAUAACGGUCCUAAGGUAGCGAAAUUCCUUGUCGGGUAAGUUCCGACCUGCACGAAUGGCGUAACGAUGGCCACACUGUCUCCAUCUGGGACUCAGUGAAAUUGAAAUCGCAGUGAAGAUGCUGCGUACCCGCGGUUAGACGGAAAGACCCCGUGAACCUUUACUAUAGCUUUGCACUGGACUUUGAAAAUAUUUGUGUAGGAUAGGUGGGAGACUGUGAGAUCAGGGCGCUAGUUCUGAAGGAGUCGCCGUUGAAAUACCACCCUGAUAUUUUUGGAGUUCUAACUCAGGCUUAAGCCGAGGACAGUGUAUGGUGGGUAGUUUGACUGGGGCGGUCUCCUCCCAAAGAGUAACGGAGGAGUACGAAGGUGCACUCGGUGCGGUCGGAAAUCGCACCAAGAGUAUAAAGGCAAAAGUGCGCUUGACUGAGAGAGUGACGGCUCGAUCAGGUACGAAAGUAGGUCUUAGUGAUCCGGUGGUUCUGAAUGGAAGGGCCAUCGCUCAACGGAUAAAAGGUACUCCGGGGAUAACAGGCUGAUUCCUCCCAAGAGUUCAUAUCGACGGAGGAGUUUGGCACCUCGAUGUCGGCUCAUCACAUCCUGGGGCUGAAGCAGGUCCCAAGGGUAUGGCUGUUCGCCAUUUAAAGUGGUACGCGAGCUGGGUUUAGAACGUCGUGAGACAGUUCGGUCCCUAUCUGCCGUGGGCGUAGGAGAUUUGAGAGGGUUUGUUCCUAGUACGAGAGGACCGGAAUGAACGAACCGCUGGUGUUUGGGUUGUCUCGCCAGAGGCAUUGCCCAGUAGCUACGUUCGGAAUGGAUAACCGCUGAAAGCAUCUAAGCGGGAAGCCAGCCUCAAGAUGAGAUCUCCCGGGAUUAAAUCCCCUAGAAGGGUUGUUGAAGACUACGACGUUGAUAGGCUGGCUGUAGAAGUGCAGUAAUGUAUGAAGCUAACCAGUACUAAUUGUCCGAGAGACUUGGUUAU